UCUAAGAAGUAGUCCUAAACCAUGGUGGAUAAGACAUGGAUCAAUGAUGAUGCUAGGUGAGCAAGACAUCAAAAUCAUCCCAGAGUGCUACAGGAGGGAGGUCCUAGAGGUAGUAAGUCACUUGUUUACUCCAUGAUGAC